rnacentral:lncRNA from 1 species
UGAAUUGGUAUGUGAUGAUUUAUAUAUAUAAAUAUGGUGUUGUGGACGCUCAGGUAAGCUCAGGUAAGUUGUGUUUGGUUAUGUGAAUCAUCGAUGAUGCGAUAUGUGGUUGAAUAAUGUUGAGCUCAUAACACUGCACGUAGGGUGAUUAUGAUUUAGCCAUAGAUAUGGCACAUGCCUGUUUAUUAUGUCACCUCCCGCACCAUAUGCUCAUAUUGGGUCCAAUUUAGGUGCAUAGUCCUGUCGUACAUACCUAUUUAUGGUUCCGACUCAUAGGUGACUAGCGAUUUAUCGUCCAACUAUUAUGUGAGAGUAGUAUUGAGCAUGAUUAUAUUACACCCAUUAUUGUCGUAUAGACCUUUUUGUUUGGUUCCGACUCUUGUGCAGUAUGUUGCCGUAUAGGUCAUAGUAGUGACUCUGGAUAGAGUGAUUUUUGAGCUAUAAAUUCAACCGUACAGACUACCACAAGGGUUCCGGCUAACAUGUUAUAUUUCUAUGAAAUUAACCUUAUCUGAAUUGCUUACUCUGUUAUAUCUUGGCAUGGCAUACAUAUGAAUAUGAUUAUGUGAAGCAUGAAUUGAAUUGAUAUGAUUUCAUAUAUAUUUAUGUAUAUGCUUAUAUCUUGAUUCUGGGAAAAAUUAUACAUGUUUUACAGCGAAGGGUUAGAUAUGUUGAUAAAUGAAAUGGUUUUGUAAAACAUUUGUUUUUGCCCACUCACGUUUUCUGUUUUGCGCCCCUCCAGGUUUUAAGUAAGCUUGCUGUUGGUGGCUUGAGGACGUCGGCAGUUCAAACCUAUUUAAAUAAUAGUAGAACAUUCCUAGUACUGUAUAACUAGUACUUGUCCUACUGGACUACACCUAGACUUAUUAUGCUCUGAUUAGGAGUGUUUACUUUUGUAACUAACUCCUAUCACUUCCUGUUUAGUAGUGCACUCUAGUAAUUUGGUUUUUUAAUUAUUCGUAUUGUUGAUGCACAAAAUCCGUGAGGACUUUGGUACAACAGAAAGUGUCAAGUUUGUGACCUUCGCUAGAUUGCUUCAGUCACUAGUGUGGAUAAGUAUAUAAAUGGAUGGGGACAGGGAAGCAAACACAAGAUGUACGUAGUUCACCCAGAUUGGCUACGUCCAC